rnacentral:misc_RNA from 1 species
UUCUCAUAAGAGCUCUAUUGCUGAAUUAACAGAAAAGCACUCGAGGGCCAUUGAGUUCCAGUCUGUAACGGAAGCACGUCAAGUAGAGAUAGAUCAGAAAUUGCAGGAAGUCAUUCAAAAGUUUGAUCAGAGAGAUUCCGAGGCUAAGGACUUGAGUGAGAAACUGAAGACAGCAGAGGACCAGAUAAAAUUGUUGGAAGCAAAGACUUUGGAAGCUUCUGCAGAUGCUGAAGCUCAUAAGAGUCAGCUAGAAGAGACUCUUUUGAAAGUAAAG